GUGAACGAGCGACGCCGCGUGGAGGAUGAAGGCCUUCGGGUUGUAAACUCCUGUCGAGGGGGAACAAGGUCCUGCGAAGAGCAGGGCUUGAGUGAUCCCUGGAGGAAGCACGGGCUAAGUUCGUGCCAGCAGCCGCGGUAAGACGAACCGUGCGAACGUUAUUCGGAAUCACUGGGCUUAAAGCGCGUGUAGGCGGGCAGGCACGUCGGUCGCUGAAAUCCCCCGGCUCAACCGGGGAACGGGCGCCGAUACGGCCGGCCUGGAGGGGGGUAGGGGGAGCCGGAACUUCCGGUGGAGCGGUGAAAUGCGUUGAGAUCGGAAGGAACGCCCGUGGCGAAAGCGGGCUCCUGGACCUCACCUGACGCUGAGACGCGAAAGCUAGGGGAGCGAACGGGAUUAGAUACCCCGGUAGUCCUAGCCGUAAACGAU
rnacentral:rRNA from 1 species